rnacentral:rRNA from 1 species
CCUACGGGUGGCAGCAGUGAGGAAUAUUGGUCAAUGGACGCAAGUCUGAACCAGCCAUGCAGCGUGCAGGAUGACGGCUCUAUGAGUUGUAAACUGCUUUUGUACGAGGGUAAAGGCAGAUACGCGUAUCUGUCUGAAAGUACCGUACGAAUAAGGAUCGGCUAACUCCGUGCCAGCAGCCGCGGUAAUACGGAGGAUUCAAGCGUUAUCCGGAUUUAUUGGGUUUAAAGGGUGCGUAGGUGGUCGGAUAAGUUAGAGGUGAAAUCCCGCGGCUCAACUGCGGAAUUGCAUCUGAUACUGGUAGGCUAGAGAGUAGUUGCGGUAGGCGGAAUGUAUGGUGUAGCGGUGAAAUGCUUAGAGAUCAUACAGAACACCGAUUGCGAAGGCAGCUUACCAAGCUACUUCUGACGUUGAGGCACGAAAGCGUGGGGAGCAAACAGGAUUAGAUACCCUAGUAGUC